UCGGGGGAACCAAUCAAAACAAGAAACAGAAAUGUCAGUUUUUGUAGCGCCAGGAUGUAAAAUGAAACAGUGAGUCGUGAAAACAUAAAUACAAACCGAUUCAAGGCAAAGGAAGAAAAGAUGUGGACCUCAGGUGUUGGGAGGCUCAAGUAGUAACAUCACUCCACCGGGCGAAGAAAAGAUGUGGACCUCAGGUGUUGGGAGGCUCAAGUAGUAACAUCACUCCACCGGGCGAAGAAAAGAUGUGGACCUCAGGUGUUGGGAGGCUCAAGUAGUAACAUCACUCCACCGGGCGAAGAAAAGAUGUGGACCUCAGGUGUUGGGAGGCUCAAGUAGUAACAUCACUCCACCGGGCGAAGAAAAGAUGUGGACCUCAGGUGUUGGGAGGCUCAAGUAGUAACAUCACUCCACCGGGCGAAGAAAAGAUGUGGACCUCAGGUGUUGGGAGGCUCAAGUAGUAACAUCACUCCACCGGGCGAAGAAAAGAUGUGGACCUCAGGUGUUGGGAGGCUCAAGUAGUAACAUCACUCCACCGGGCGAAGAAAAGAUGUGGACCUCAGGUGUUGGGAGGCUCAAGUAGUAACAUCACUCCACCGGGCGAAGAAAAGAUGUGGACCUCAGGCGUUGGGAGGCUCAAGUAGUAACAUCACUCCACCGGGCGAAGAAAAGAUGUGGACCUCAGGUGUUGGGAGGCUCAAGUAGUAACAUCACUCCACCGGGCGAGAGUAACUCAGAUCGAGUCUUUACUCCUUAUGUCUCCUCAUACAAAA